UCCCUGGUGGUCUAGUGGGUAAGGCUCUGUGCUCCCAAUGCAGGGGACUGGGGUUCGAUCCCUGGUUAGGGAA
rnacentral:tRNA from 1 species